rnacentral:rRNA from 1 species
UACGGAGGGGGCGAGCGUUAUUCGGAAUUAUUGGGCGUAAAGGGCGCGUAGGCGGCGCGGUAAGUCAAAGGUGAAAUCCCUCGGCUCAACUGAGGAACUGCCUUUGAGACUGCCGGGCUCGAGGCCGGGAGGGGGUAGCGGAAUUCCCAGUGUAGCGGUGAAAUGCGUAGAUAUUGGGAGGAACACCAGUGGCGAAGGCGGCUACCUGGACCGGUUCUGACGCUGAUGCGCGAAAGCGUGGGUAGCAAACAGG